rnacentral:rRNA from 1 species
UACAGAGGUCCCAAGCGUUGUUCGGAUUCACUGGGCGUAAAGGGUGCGUAGGUGGUGAGGUAAGUCGGAUGUGAAAUCUCCGAGCUCAACUCGGAAACUGCGUUGGAAACUACCUUGCUCGAGGGUUGGAGGGGGGACUGGAAUGCUUGGUGUAGCAGUGAAAUGCGUAGAUAUCAAGCGGAACACCAGUGGCGAAGGCGAGUCCCUGGACAACUACUGACACUGAUGCACGAAAGCUAGGGGAGCAAACAGG